UACGUAGGGGGGCUAGCGUUGUCCGGAAUCAUUGGGCGUAAAGCGCGCGUAGGCGGCCCGGUAAGUCCGCUCUGAAAGUCCAGGGCUCAACCCUGGAAAGCGGGUGGAUACUGCCGGGCUAGAAUCCGGAAGAGGCGAGUGGAAUUCCUGGUGUAGCGGUGGAAUGCGCAGAUAUCAGGAAGAACACCAACGGCGAAGGCAGCUCGCUAGGACGGUACUGACGCUGAGACGCGAAAGCGUGGGGAGCGAACAGG
rnacentral:rRNA from 1 species